GGCAGUUCUCAGGUGACGCACCCCAGAAUUGGGUUCCCUCCUCUCUGAUUCUGGGUGCCUCACCUGAGAACCACA
rfam:Myotis lucifugus cont2.19354, whole genome shotgun sequence.